rnacentral:rRNA from 1 species
UGUAGAGGAGAACACCGUCAAGGUUCACUCGUCUAGUAGAAGCGGAUCGCUCGACAGCAGUCGAAGGAGUAACCACGGGAGGUACCUAUCCGAGCAGCGGCGGCCGUAGGAACCGAAAGAUGACUAACGCAGCCAUCCUUCGGUACGUCGAGCACGAGGCCUCGUUAUGACCUUCAGACGAGAAGGGUUGUGUGGGUACGGUUCGAGGGAGAGAGUUGAGGAUUUGUUAGUUCGGCCCCCGUGCAGCCACUUGUAGCCGAGUCCGCCACAGGUACAGCUGCGCCCAGUACCCUACGGGCCGCCGUGCUGCCAGCUACAACCGUUCCCACCGCAGCCGCAGUUGCAGUUCGGACCGUCGCGGUUCGGGCCGUCCUGAUGCCAGCCGCAGCCGUUCCCGCCGCACCCACAGUUGCAGUUCGGACCGAUGCCGUUCGGGCCCCCGUGUUGGCACCCGCAACCGUUCCCGCCGCAACUGCAGUUGCAGUUUGGACCGUCGCCGUUCGGGUCGCCGUGCUGCCAGCCGCAACCGUUCCCACCGCACCCGCAGUUACAGUUCGGACCGAUGCCGUUCGGGCCACCGUGGUGCCAACCUCAUCCCUUCCCUCCGCAGCCGCACUUGCACUUCGGACCGCCGCCGUGGUGCCAGCCGCAGCCCUUUCCACCGCGGCCGCACUUGCACUUUGGACGUAUGCCGUUCGGACCACCGUGGCCGUGGUGGCAGCCGCAGCCCUUCCCGCCGCAGCCUCAGUUGCAGUUCGGACCGAUGCCAUUCGGUCCGCCGUGGUGCCAGCCGCAGCCCUUCCCGCCGCAGCCGCAGUUGCAGUUCGGACCGAUGCCGUUCGGUCCGCCGUUUGGGGCCCCAUUCGGACAGGUGCAGUUGCAGAGCGGAAAGUACAUGUUGAUGCGGCGUUGCCUCUGCGUCUACGUGCUGCUGGGGUCGCGGCGCGAGAAGAAGGACCUCUUCCUAGACGUGCGGCCCUUCUUCUACUUGCAGGUAAAGUACCGGUGGGGUCCGCGGCCUCUCUUCAAGGACGGCGCCUCGCUCCGGCUGUGGUAAGGCAAGAGGAGGCUCUUCCAGGGACUCUAGGAGUCGGCGAAGAGGCACCGCGGCCUGAGGCACCUCCGCCGCCUCUACUUCGUCUGCGACGCGCUCACGCUCCGCCGCCGCCUGUUACCCCUCUUCUUCAGCACGCGGUGCAGCGACCUCAGGUACCACCUGAAGCGGUGCAGGUCGGAGCCCUGGUCGGUGCACUCCCGGCAGAGGUGCCACCAGCCCUUCCUCCCCAGCGGCCUCGUCCUCAUGUGGUACUGGCCGCACUUCGCGCGCCGCCCCCGGCUGGUCGAGCACCGGACGGUGCGCCUCGGCAUGCGCAUGCGGCACAAGCGCACGGUGGACUGCGUCCGCUGCUCCCGCAUGUGCCACAGCUACCAGCCGUUCCUGCCGUGCCGCCACCUCCGGCAGCGGCACACGGUGCGGCUGUGCCGGCCGACCUUGGGCUCCGUGCACCGCAAGGUCCACGAGUUCCACUUCGGGCCGCGCCGCGGCCAGACGGUGAAGGACGGCGUCCUGGUGCAGCAGACCUGGGCGUCGCCGACUUCUUAGGUCCAGACAAGUGCAAGCAAGCAUUCGUGGUACGUCAAGUCACGAAACGAUAAACCCAACUACUACGGACGCAAGCAAAUGCAAGAUCGGAGACGUCUGCGACGACACAGGAUGAUGAUAUGCUCAUAUACCAUAGAACGUAGGACCGUAUGUAAAGGCAACAACAACGGAUAACAUAAACCUACCGCAACGGUCAUAGCGGUCGAACACGCCUCACUCCCGACAAACGACAUAUCAAAUCGUGCAACUACGUUAUUUUUCUGACCAUGAAUAAAUGGAGAGAAAAUGGUAGUAAC